rnacentral:rRNA from 1 species
GACGUAGGGCGCGAGCGUUGUCCGGAUUUAUUGGGCGUAAAGAGCUCGUAGGCGGCUUGUCGCGUCGACUGUGAAAACUCGGGGCUCAACUCCGAGCUUGCAGUCGAUACGGGCAAGCUAGAGUUCGGUAGGGGAGACUGGAAUUCCUGGUGUAGCGGUGAAAUGCGCAGAUAUCAGGAGGAACACCGGUGGCGAAGGCGGGUCUCUGGGCCGAUACUGACGCUGAGGAGCGAAAGCGUGGGGAGCGAACAGG